UCCUAGGUCAAUUGUUCUAAACUUCUGGCAGGCGGCGGCCGGCAUGGAAUUUGGCCGGAAGUGCGGUCCGUCAUGCUCGUCGUUUUGUGCCAUUCCUUUGACGGAGUAACUGAAAUUUGAGUGGAAUAACCAAGCUUAUGAUGGCAGUUAGGGUUUCCAGUAGUGAACAUGGACAAACCUUGGAGAAGUUAAUUCAAAUGACCAAAUUACGUCAGUAAAGUGUGAAAUUCGCCUUUUUUUGGAGGCGGAGAGGUGCGGCCGGUUGCGGCGGCGAGGAGGUUGCGAGAGAAUGCAAUUAAAGACUUCUCAUAUAUGAUGAAUUUCACAUCAGUUUUCGAGUCGAAAAUGAAGACAAACUCACCGAUAAAGUCGGAGCCAUCAAAUUGUCACCAUGGGGUAGGUGGGGGCCACGGGCAAUGUCCCCCGCAGAAGAAGAGUCAAAUUAAGGCGUGAUGAAUGAGCUCGUGAGGAUUUCAUGUCACAUUUAGUUUAGAGGUCUUUUUUAAGGGUAUUGAUUAGUUCAUAGAGGUAUGAUGUGUUGUGUGGGAUGCUCUGCUAUUGUCAAAGCAUUUUAGAGAUAUAAUUAUUGAUUAAUUGUUUUUUAAGAUAAGAUUUGUGCAAUUAUUUGUAUUGCAUUUAGUUUUGUUGUAAUUUAAUUUUUUGCUAGUGUGACUUGGGGGUUCUCUUUGGGAGUAGUUUUGAGAGUGAGUAGAUGACAUGUAGUUUUGAAAUA